rnacentral:misc_RNA from 1 species
AACGCAUCUUGCACUCAUUGGUAUUCCAAUGAGUACGCCUGUUUCAGUAUCGAAACCAACCCACAUUCUUAAAUUCGUUUUUAAGCAACGGAGAUUGAGGGUCUCUCUACUUUUUGGUAGUGAAGCUCUUGAAAUGAAUCAAGGCCUGUCUUGGUUCCUUGGUGAAAGCUUUUUUUUAAUAUAAAAUCAAGUUUUCCCCCGGAAUCUUUACUUGGGAGGCCUCUCAAAUAAUUUCUUCUUUCAAAUUUGAUCUGAAAUCAGGUGGGAUUACCCGCUGAACUUAA